rnacentral:misc_RNA from 1 species
GAUGAAGAACGCAGCGAAAUGCGAUAAGUAAUGUGAAUUGCAGAAUUCAGUGAAUCAUCGAAUCUUUGAACGCACAUUGCGCCCCUUGGUAUUCCGAGGGGCAUGCCUGUUCGAGCGUCAUUAUAACCCCUCAAGCUCAGCUUGGUGUUGGGCCCCGCCGCCCCGGCGGGCCCUAAAGUCAGUGGCGGUGCCGUCCGGCUCCGAGCGUAGUAAUUCUUCUCGCUCUGGAGGUCCGGUCGUGUGCUCGCCAGCAACCCCCAAUUUUUUUCAGGUUGACCUCGGAUCAGGUAGGGAUACCCGCUGAACUUAAGCAUAUCAAUAAGCGGAGGA